UGCCCAUUGUGAUAUCACUUAGCCCGGAGUGGAGGUCCUACCCCCCGGUCUCUGCCUGCCUCAAGCCUCCAAAGAGCCCAAUUUUCAAGAGUCCAGGGAGUCCCUGGAGAUGUCUAGGCCAAGCGUUACACUUUGGUGAAGAGACGAAGAUCCUGAGGUGUCAAGUGACUCACCUGCAGUCACGCAGCAGAUCAGCGGCAGGCCUGGCCCAGGAACCCCCGAGUAGAGACAGGGAAGAAGGGACCACACACUCUCCUUAGACCCAGAAGGUGCUGGGUCUACCUCUCUCUGCCACCUGUCUACUGCCGCAGUCAGAAGCCCUGGCUUGCCAGGGCACUAGGUAUGUCCUCUGGGGAGGGAGCUUUUCUCUGGUUCCCUAGGACCAGAGAGGUUGAGCAGUGGGUCAGAGUCACACAGCAAGUCAGCAGCAAAGGCAGCAGUCAAAAUGAGCCCUAGUAGGGGCCCUGCCUGGAAAAGAGGAGACACCAUGUUCCUAAAGAGGGACUAAUGGAGCAAAACAAGGAAGAGGAAGGAGGCAGUGAUCUGAUGGAGGUGGGGAUUCCAGCUGGGCAGCUUUGCCAGGCUUCCCGUCUGGAGCUGAAGGGGGAAAAUGCAAAUAGGUGUGAUUUGGCCUUGGUCCUACUCUUCUCCUACACGGAGCUGGUCCUGCUCAGGUGCAUCUACGGUGGGAAGGGGUAGGGCCUCACCUCAGCAGAGGAGUAGCCAGAGGAGGAAUAUCUGGACAUGUCAAAGUCAUCAUCGCUGGCGGUGGAAGAAAGAAGAUGGAGAGGAAGUGACUCCCGGAAAUUAAAUAGAAAACUCCUUGCACCCACCUCCCCUCAACUCAGUCAAUACCCUACCCCUUCCCCAUGGUUCCAAAUAAAAGUACAAAGUCUCUAAAUAAAAA